GUGCUCACUCUGACCUUCCUCCCUACAAAGUUGUGUGCUUCUCCUUUUCCUUAUGCCAUGAUUGUUAAGUUUCCUGAGGCCUCCCCAGCAAUGCAGAACUGGAGCGUUCCACUUGGCUGGGAGCAGAUAAUGUGUGCAUCCCGAGAGCAGACAGAACCAAGAGCAGGCAAACUUAGAAGACACUCAGCUAAGCACUUGCUGACUUCUUACAGGUUCACCGAUCAG
ensembl:lncRNA SLC8A1-AS1 SLC8A1 antisense RNA 1